rnacentral:rRNA from 1 species
AACGGCCGUACCAUGCUGAAUAUACCGUUUCUCGUUAGAUCACCGAAGUCAAGCAUCAUUGGGCGCGGUCAGUACUUGGGUGGGUGACCACCUGGGAACACCGCGUGCCGUU